AACGGAGGCCGGGAAGGGCUUCAUCGGAGGCAAAAACUGAGGAGGGGCGCGGUGGCGCCGCUGGGUUUCGGCCGUGUUUUCCAGCCGUUUGGCUGGGAUUUUGGCUCCGAUUUGGCCACAGGGGAACUCAACGUGGAAAAACGAGCCGGGGUAUGAAAUUUACCUCGAUCGACGGUCGGAAAACUCCCCGGUGCGGCGGCGGGUGGCGGCGGCCGGCUCCUCCGGCGUCUAGUUCGUCUU
rnacentral:lncRNA from 1 species